GCAAAGAUUCCCUGCAAAAUCAGUUAAAUGUAGUGAAGCCAUUUUUAAUCGUUGACGAAUCUCCUUCGACAAGUUCUUCACGAGCUUUUAUCAAAACAAAAACAAAGAAAAAGCAAGAGAUAUCAUCAGCAGAAAAUGUACUUCCUUCAACAUCAAUCGCAAUGCUUCCAGUUAUAAAUGAAGAGACGACAGCCGAGAUUUUGAACGUACAACCGAUUUCAGUGAAUGGGACAGAUUACAUCGACUAAAAAUUUCAACAGCUCCAGAAAGAACUUACAAACCAAAUUUUAUCCGUCAAAAGAAGUAUUUUGUACGAUUUUGAUAAGAAGAUAAAC